UAGUGCAAUGAUGGUUCCAUCUUUCGGGUCUGAUUAUGAUGACCACAACAUAUGCUGAGCACAG
rnacentral:snoRNA from 1 species